CGUGCCUAACACAUGCAAGUCGAGCGGGAUUUUCCGGAUUGAAGCUUCGGUAGAUUGAAGGAAAUGAGAGCGGCGGACGGGUGAGUAACGCGUGAGCAACCUGCCUUUGUGAGGGGGAUANACAGGGAAACUUGUGCUAAUACCGCAUAACGCAUACUGAUUGCAUGGUUGGUAUGUUAAAGGAGCAAUCCGCAUAAAGAUGGGCUCGCGUCUGAUUAGAUAGUUGGUGAGGUAACGGCUCACCAAGUCGACGAUCAGUAGCCGGCCUGAGAGGGUGAACGGCCACAUUGGGACUGAGACACGGCCCAAACUCCUACGGGAGGCAGCAGUGGGGAAUAUUGCACAAUGGGGGAAACCCUGAUGCAGCGACGCCGCGUGAGUGAAGAAGGUCUUCGGAUUGUAAACCUUUGUUGACAGGGAAGAAGAAAGUGACGGUACCUGUAAAGAAAGCCACGGCUAGCUACGUG
rnacentral:rRNA from 1 species